UAAUACGUAGGGUGCGAGCGUUGUCCGGAAUUAUUGGGCGUAAAGAGCUCGUAGGCGGUUUGUUGCGUCGGCCGUGAAAACUAGGGGCUUAACUCUUAGCUUGCGGUCGAUACGGGCAGACUUGAGUUCGGUAGGGGAGACUGGAAUUCCUGGUGUAGCGGUGAAAUGCGCAGAUAUCAGGAGGAACACCGGUGGCGAAGGCGGGUCUCUGGGCCGAUACUGACGCUGAGGAGCGAAAGCGUGGGGAGCGAACAGGA
rnacentral:rRNA from 1 species